rnacentral:rRNA from 1 species
GAAAGGCGCUUUCGGGUGUCGCUGAUGGAUGGACCCGCGGUGCAUUAGCUAGUUGGUGAGGUAACGGCUCACCAAGGCGACGAUGCAUAGCCGACCUGAGAGGGUGAUCGGCCACAUUGGGACUGAGACACGGCCCAAACUCCUACGGGAGGCAGCAGUAGGGAAUCUUCGGCAAUGGACGAAAGUCUGACCGAGCAACGCCGCGUGAGUGAAGAAGGUUUUCGGAUCGUAAAACUCUGUUGUUAGAGAAGAACAAGGAUGAGAGUAACUGUUCAUCCCUUGACGGUAUCUAACCAGAAAGCCACGGCUAACUACGUGCCAGCAGCCGCGGUAAUACGUAGGUGGCAAGCGUUGUCCGGAUUUAUUGGGCGUAAAGCGAGCGCAGGCGGUUUCUUAAGUCUGAUGUGAAAGCCCCCGGCUCAACCGGGGAGGGUCAUUGGAAACUGGGAGACUUGAGUGCAGAAGAGGAGAGUGGAAUUCCAUGUGUAGCGGUGAAAUGCGUAGAUAUAUGGAGGAACACCAGUGGCGAAGGCGGCUCUCUGGUCUGUAACUGACGCUGAGGCUCGAAAGCGUGGGGAGCAAACAGGAUUAGAUACCCUGGCAGUCCACGCCGUAAACGAUGAGUGCUAAGUGUUGGAGGGUUUCCGCCCUUCA